rnacentral:rRNA from 1 species
AAGGCCCGGANCUUGCUCCGGUCACCUUAGUGGCGGACGGGUGAGUAACACGUGGGAAUUUGCCCAGGAGUGGGGAAUAACGUUUGGAAACGAACGCUAAUACCGCAUACGCCCUUCGGGGGAAAGGCUUCGGCCGCUCUUGGAUAAGCCCGCGUCAGAUUAGCUUGUUGGUGAGGUAACGGCUCACCAAGGCGACGAUCUGUAGCUGGUCUGAGAGGAUGAUCAGCCACACUGGGACUGAGACACGGCCCAGACUCCUACGGGAGGCCGCAGUGGGGAAUAUUGGACAAUGGGGGAAACCCUGAUCCAGCCAUGCCGCGUGAGUGAAGAAGGCCCUAGGGUUGUAAAACUCUUUCAGUCGUGACGAUGAUGACGGUAGCGACAGAAGAAGCCCCGGCUAACUCCGUGCCAGCAGCCGCGGUAAUACGGAGGGGGCUAGCGUUGUUCGGAAUUACUGGGCGUAAAGCGCACGUAGGCGGUCUAUCUAGUUAGAGGUGAAAGGCCCGGGCUCAACCUGGGAACUGCCUUUAAUACUGGUAGGCUAGAGUCCGGGAGAGGGUAGCGGANUUCCAAGUGUAGAGGUGAAAUUCGUANAUNUUUGGAAGAACACCGGUGGCGAANGCGGCUACCUGGACCGGCACUGACGCUGANGCGCGAAAGCGUGGGGAGCGAACAGGAUUAGAUACCCUGGUAGUCCACGCCGUAAACGAUGAGUGCUAGAUGUCGGGGUUUCANANUUCGGUGUCGCAGCUAACGCGUUAAGCACUCCGNCNGGGGNANUACGGUCGCAAGAUUAAAACUCAAAGGAANUNGACGGGGGCCCGCACAAGCGGNNG